ACCGAGUGCCCCUCAAAAAACCCUAGUUCUUCCUCCCCAAAUCUGACCUCGCCGCCUCUCAUGCUCCUCAUUUUCGCUGGACGUCUGACUUGGCACCAGAAGACAAUCGCAUUGAUAAGGAGCUGCUAGCGAGGCUCAACAAUGCAAAGAAUGAAAACAGUUUCGGGAGGAAGCCUAAGGACGAGAGAAAAUAUGAUUAUGUUAUGUCAAUACCAACAACAAAGGAAUAUGUUGAGCCAUGGGUGAAUGAGUGCAGAACCUUACCACUUUCUUUUCAUAUACCCUUUCAAAAUGUACGAGCUCUGGUUCCAGAUCUUGCAAAGCUAUGCUCCUUUCAUAUGUGUUUUCUUAACUCAUUUUUUUUUCUUAUAAUGUCAUCACAACAAACUUUCAAAUUUUUUGAUUUGGGUCUUCAUUUGUUGAUUUUCUUUAUAAUUGGGUGAACCAAGAGAAACCCAUGUUCUCAUUUUUCCUGUUAGUUUUGAUUUGGUGGAUGCCGUGAAUAUACUGGUGCAACAUAUUUCGCUGCUAUAUCCGCCCUAAAAAUUGUUAGUAAUGCCUCUUAUGUUACAUUUCAUUAUUCUCCAUGUUUGUUUUAGUACGUUCAUACUUAAAAGAUAUUCAUAUCUUGGUUUAUGUUGAAUUUUAAGAAUUCUGCCUUUCUUGCAUAGGGUGUAGAUUUAUCACAUGUUUUCUGUACAAAAGAUGCUUCACCGGUAAUAAAAGGCUACAGCCCUGAGUUGAUUAAAGGAAAUUCUGACCUUAUCGGUGAUGGUGUUACAUGUUUGCAUUCUUUCCUAAACAUGUAUUAGUUGUUCUACAGUUAAUAAAGUGAUAAAAGAAAAUUCUUUGUGAUAGUUUCCAGUGUCUUAUAUUUCAGACUGUAAAUUGAUGGAGCAAUAGUAUUUUUCCUAACAAUGUUUCUGAAUAUAACUCAUCAAUGGCAUCUAACUUGCCUCAGAGGAUAAUAUCUGUAGGUUCCUCUAUUUUAGCCAAUAUAUCAUUACCGUGAUGUCAUUGCUGCCUGUUUAUAUAUAUUUUGCAUGCUUUGUUUAAAUCUAUUUUCGAUCCAAUUCAAUUAGUUUGGAUUCCCCCGAGCCUUUAAAAUGACUAAAUUUAACUCAGAACACAUAAAUUUCGGUAUUUUUUAUUGUGGAAAAUGUUCAUGUCUGGCAAAGAUCUUGUGAAGUCAAAAGCAUUUGAAAUUCUUUUGAAUUCAUGGCAGCCUGUGGAAAUAGUGUUUGUAGGUUUAUAUAACGUUAUAUAUUUUCUGCUGACUUCCUCUGUUGUAGGCCCCAAAAGUCUAUCCAUAUGACAAUUUGCGAGUUGAGCUUGGCGGAGAACCAUAAGAAUAAGCAUUGUUCCAGUUCAUCCAAAGGCCUUUAAUAUCCGUUUUGUGCUUUCUCGUGUCCAGUUGUUGCUGACUUUACUAUGGAAUGAAAUAAAUAAGGCAUCACCUUUAUGAUCCUGCUGUGUUAGUUUCUGAUUUCAUCACAUAAAACUUUUUGAACUUAAAUCUAUUGUAGGAUGCCCAUUUUGCGUCUCAUAAGGUUUCAAGUAUGGGUAUGUUCCUCGCUUUUGCAAGUAUCUGCUUGUGCUUCACCUGAACUUCAGGAUGCUAAGGUGUUGUUCAACUUAAAUAUGCAUAACAGUGAAAAUAUCCUAUGCUUCCCGUUUUAAUAUUUGCUUCAGGGACACAAUUCUCAUGAUCAAAGUGUUGACAUGAUGCUGCAUGAUUAACCUUGGUUUUUGAGACAUGAAGUUUUCAACCCUGAGGAGAUUAGUGCAAAGGUUCUCACUAAAAUGAAGGAGACAGCUGAGGAAUUUCUUGGAAAGAAAAUUAAGGAUGCUGUUGUGACUGUCCCAGGCAGGCAACCAAGGAUGCUGGUGUAAUUGCUGGUUUGAAUGUUGCAAGAAUUAUCAAUGAACCAACAACUGUUGUCAUUGCCUAUGGUCUAGUGAGGACUUUGAUCAAAGAAUCAUGGAGUACUUCAUCAAAUUGAUCAAGAAAUAACACGGAAAGGACAUAAGCAAGGACAACCGUGAUCUUGGAAAGCUAAGGAGAGAAUGCGAGCAGUACAAGGAAGUACCUUGAGUGGUGAGGGUGGUGAAGAAACUAAA